AUGAAAGUACUACUAGUAGUAAAAAAAUAUUGUUAUUUGAAGGGUAGGCUUAAGCCUGUUAAAGCCCUCCUAGUAGACUCGCCGCUGGGUGGGUUCCUUGAUGGGCUGAGGCCGUCCAGGACGAUGGACGAUGUGAAGGACCUCAUCGGCAGGUCCAUGGAGCUCGAGCUCGUCAGCGCCGAUCUUGACGCGGAAACGGGGAAGGAGAAACAGACGAUCAAGAGCUAUGCCCGCAAGGUGGCCGACAAGGACCGCCACAUCGUCACCUAUGAAGCCGGCUUCAACGUGCCGGCGGGCUUCGGCUCCGUCGGCGCCGUGCUGGUCACCAACGAGCACGACACGGAGAUGUUCCUCAAGGACGUGAAGCUCAUCGGCGGUGGCAACUCGGACUCGGAGCCCCACGUCAUCCUCUGCGACUCGUGGCUGCCGCCCAAGUCCGGCGACGGCAAGCGCAUCUUCUUCGCCAACAAGGUGAUUCGAUCAGGACCCCGUCAAGCCAUUUUGCAAUUGAAAUUUGUCAAUGCUGAACUGUUGAUCAAUGUACCAACGACCGUGCAGCCUUACCUGCCGAGCCAAACUCCUCCCGGCCUCCAGAGCUACCGGAAGAAGGACCUGGUGAAGAAGCGCGGUGACGGCACGGGGCAGAGGAAGGCCACCGACCGGGUGUACGACUACGACGUGUACAACGAUCUCGGCUCCGGCGAGGAACCCGGUGCCGGCGGCGCCCGCUCCGUCCUCGGUGGCAACGAGCAGUUCCCCUACCCGCGGCGCUGCCGCACCGGCCGCCCCCGAUCCAUCAAAGAUCCGCAGUCGGAGAUGAGGAGCGGCGACGUGUACGUGCCGAGGGACGAGGCGUUCUCGGAGGAGAAGAACGUGCAGUUCUCGGUGAAGACGCUGCAGUCGGUGCUCCACGCCGUGGUGCCGGCCGUGCAGUCCACGCUCAUCGACGCCAACCAGGGCUUUCCCUCCUUCUUCGUCAUCGACAAGCUGUUCGAGGACGGCGUCGUGCUGCCGCGCGCUCGAGAGGUCGGCUUCCUCCGCAGCGCCGUGCCGCGCCUCCUUCAGUUCCUCCGCGACGGCCUCGGCGACAAGCUCCUCCUCUUCGACCGCCCCGCAAAUGUCAAAAAGGACAAGUUUGCGUGGUUACGUGACGAGGAGUUCGCCAGGGAGACGCUCGCCGGCAUGAACCCAUACGCCAUCGAGCUUGUCAGGGAAUUUCCCCUCAAGAGCAAUCUGGACCCGGCAGAGUACGGGCCGGCGGAGUCGGCUAUCACCGCCGAGCUGCUGGAGGCGCAGAUGGGGCACACCAUGACGGUGGCGGAGGCGGUGGAGAAGAAGAGGCUGUUCAUGCUCGACUUCCACGACCUGUUCCUGCCCUACGUGCACAAGAUCCGCGCCCUGGAGCACACCACCAUGUACGGCUCCCGCACCAUCUUGUUCCUUACCGACGAGGGCACGCUGCGCCUCCUCGCCAUCGAGCUCACCCGGCCGGCCUCGCCGACCAUGCCGCAGUGGAGGCAGGUGUUCACAUCGUCCACGGACACCACCAAGUCCUGGCUGUGGCGGAUGGCCAAGUCCCACGUCCGCGCCCGCGACGCCGGCCACCACGAGCUCGUCACCCACUGGCUGCGCACGCACUGCGCCGUCGAGCCCUACAUCCUCGCGGCCAACAGGCAGCUCAGCGAGAUGCACCCCGUCUACCAGCUGCUGCGCCCGCACUUCCGCUACACCAUGCGGAUCAACGCGCUCGCACGCUCCGCCCUGGUCAACGGCGGCGGCAUCAUCGAGAGCACCUUCUCCCCGCAGAGGUACGGCAUGGAGCUCAGCUCCGUGGCCUACGACAAGCUCUGGCGCUUCGACAUGGAGGCCCUCCCCGCGGACCUCGUCCGGAGGGGCAUGGCGGAGGAGGACCCCACGGCGGAGCACGGCCUCAGGUUCGCAAUCAAAGACUACCCGUUCGCCAACGACGGGCUCCUGAUCUGGGACGCCAUCAAGGGGUGGGUUCAGGCGUACGUUUCCCGGUACUACCGGGGGGACGCCGCCAGCGUCACCGGCGACACGGAGCUACAGGCGUUCUGGACGGAGGUACGCACCGAGGGACACGCUGACAAGAAGGGCGCGCCGUGGUGGCCUAAGCUGGACACGCCGGAGACCCUCGCGCACACGCUCACCACAAUAAUCUGGGUCGCGGCGGCGCACCACGCGGCGGUCAACUUCGGGCAGUAUGACUUUGGGGGGUACUUCCCGAACCGCCCCUCGAUCGCGCGUACCAAGAUGCCGGUGGAGGAGCCCGUGGACGCCGCCGCCUUGGAGAAAUUCCUCGACAACCCGGACGAGGCGCUCCGGGAGUGCUUCCCGUCGCAGCUGCAGGCAACGCUGGUGAUGGCGGUGCUGGACGUGCUGUCCAGCCACUCCCCCGACGAGGAGUACCUCGGAGGGAUGGAGACUGCGCCGUGGGGCGACGACACCGAGGUGCGGGCGGCGUACACGAGGUUCAACGACCAGCUGAAGGCGGUGGAGGGGAUCAUCGACGAAAGGAACAAGAACAGAAUGCUCAAGAAUCGGUGCGGCGCCGGCAUCUUGCCGUACCAGCUCAUGAAACCAUUCUCGGAGCCCGGCGUCACGGGCAAGGGCAUCCCCAACAGCACCUCCAUCUGA
rnacentral:rRNA from 1 species